GAUGAACGCUGGCGGCGUGCCUAAUACAUGCAAGUCGAGCGAAUGGAUCAAGAGCUUGCUCUUAUGAAGUUAGCGGCGGACGGGUGAGUAACACGUGGGUAACCUGCCCAUAAGACUGGGAUAACUCCGGGAAACCGGGGCUAAUACCGGAUAACAUUUUGAACCGCAUGGUUCGAAAUUGAAAGGCGGCUUCGGCUGUCACCUAUGGAUGGACCCGCGUCGCAUUAGCUAGUUGGUGAGGUAACGGCUCACCAAGGCAACGAUGCGUAGCCGACCUGAGAGGGUGAUCGGCCACACUGGGACUGAGACACGGCCCAGACUCCUACGGGAGGCAGCAGUAGGGAAUCUUCCGCAAUGGACGAAAGUCUGACGGAGCAACGCCGCGUGAGUGAUGAAGGCUUUCGGGUCGUAAAACUCUGUUGUUAGGGAAGAACAAGUGCUAGUUGAAUAAGCUGGCACCUUGACGGUACCUAACCAGAAAGCCACGGCUAACUACGUGCCAGCAGCCGCAGUAA
rnacentral:rRNA from 1 species